AGAGUUUGAUCAUGGCUCAGAUUGAACGCUGGCGGCAGGCCUAACACAUGCAAGUCGAGCGGAUGAAGGGAGCUUGCUCCUGGAUUCAGCGGCGGACGGGUGAGUAAUGCCUAGGAAUCUGCCUGGUAGUGGGGGAUAACGUCCGGAAACGGGCGCUAAUACCGCAUACGUCCUGAGGGAGAAAGUGGGGGAUCUUCGGACCUCACGCUAUCAGAUGAGCCUAGGUCGGAUUAGCUAGUUGGUGGGGUAAAGGCCUACCAAGGCGACGAUCCGUAACUGGUCUGAGAGGAUGAUCAGUCACACUGGAACUGAGACACGGUCCAGACUCCUACGGGAGGCAGCAGUGGGGAAUAUUGGACAAUGGGCGAAAGCCUGAUCCAGCCAUGCCGCGUGUGUGAAGAAGGUCUUCGGAUUGUAAAGCACUUUAAGUUGGGAGGAAGGGCAGUAAGUUAAUACCUUGCUGUUUUGACGUUACCAACAGAAUAAGCACCGGCUAACUUCGUGCCAGCAGCCGCGGUAAUACGAAGGGUGCAAGCGUUAAUCGGAAUUACUGGGCGUAAAGCGCGCGUAGGUGGUUCAGCAAGUUGGAUGUGAAAUCCCCGGGCUCAACCUGGGAACUGCAUCCAAAACUACUGAGCUAGAGUACGGUAGAGGGUGGUGGAAUUUCCUGUGUAGCGGUGAAAUGCGUAGAUAUAGGAAGGAACACCAGUGGCGAAGGCGACCACCUGGACUGAUACUGACACUGAGGUGCGAAAGCGUGGGGAGCAAACAGGAUUAGAUACCCUGGUAGUCCACGCCGUAAACGAUGUCGACUAGCCGUUGGGAUCCUUGAGAUCUUAGUGGCGCAGCUAACGCGAUAAGUCGACCGCCUGGGGAGUACGGCCGCAAGGUUAAAACUCAAAUGAAUUGACGGGGGCCCGCACAAGCGGUGGAGCAUGUGGUUUAAUUCGAAGCAACGCGAAGAACCUUACCUGGCCUUGACAUGCUGAGAACUUUCCAGAGAUGGAUUGGUGCCUUCGGGAACUCAGACACAGGUGCUGCAUGGCUGUUGUCAGCUCGUGUCGUGAGAUAUUGGGUUAAGUCCCGUAACGAGCGCAACCCUUGUCCUUAGUUACCAGCACCUCGGGUGGGCACUCUAAGGAGACUGCCGGUGACAAACCGGAGGAAGGUGGGGAUGACGUCAAGUCAUCAUGGCCCCUUACGGCCAGGGCUACACACGUGCUACAAUGGUCGGUACAAUGGGUUGCCAAGCCGCGAGGUGGAGCUAAUCCCAUAAAACCGAUCGUAGUCCGGAUCGCAGUCUGCAACUCGACUGCGUGAAGUCGGAAUCGCUAGUAAUCGUGAAUCAGAAUGUCACGGUGAAUACGUUCCCGGGCCUUGUACACACCGCCCGUCACACCAUGGGAGUGGGUUGCUCCAGAAGUAGCUAGUCUAACCGCAAGGGGGACGGUUACCACGGAGUGAUUCAUGACUGGGGUGAAGUCGUAACAAGGUA
rnacentral:rRNA from 1 species